UACGUAGGGACCGAGCGUUGUCCGGAAUCAUUGGGCGUAAAGAGCGUGUAGGCGGCCACUUAAGUCCUGCGUGAAAUCUUGCGGCUCAACCGCAAGCGGUCGUGGGAAACUGGGUGGCUAGAGUGCGGGAGAGGAGAGUGGAAUUCCUGGUGUAGCGGUGGAAUGCGCAGAUAUCAGGAGGAACACCCGUGACGAAGGCGGCUCUCUGGAACGCAACUGACGCUGAGACGCGAAAGCGUGGGAGCAAACAGG
rnacentral:rRNA from 1 species